rnacentral:rRNA from 1 species
GAUACCCGGGUAGUCCACGCCGUAAACGAUGUCGACUUGGAGGUUGUGCCCUUGAGGCGUGGCUUCCGGAGCUAACGCGUUAAGUCGACCGCCUGGGGAGUACGGCCGCAAGGUUAAAACUCAAAUGAAUUGACGGGGGCCCGCACAAGCGGUGGAGCAUGUGGUUUAAUUCGAUGCAACGCGAAGAACCUUACCUGGUCUUGACAUCCACGGAAGUUUUCAGAGAUGAGAAUGUGC